AGGGAUUGCUUAUUGCACCACAUGUGUUUUUUAUUGAACAAAUUUCUUUGGUGGCGGGAGCAAUCCUACCGCCAGAGGUUAUAACUAAACCAAACUUUUUAUUUACAGUCAAACUUGAUUUAUUAUUACAAUAGUCAAAACUUUCAACAACGGAUCUCUUGGUUCUCGCAUCGAUGAAGAACGCAGCGAAAUGCGAUACGUAAUAUGAAUUGCAGAUAUUCGUGAAUCAUCGAAUCUUUGAACGCACAUUGCGCCCUUUGGUAUUCCAAAGGGCAUGCCUGUUUGAGCGUCAUUUCUCCCUCAAACCCCCGGGUUUGGUGUUGAGCAAUACGCUAGGUUUGUUUGAAAGAAUUUAACGUGGAAACUUAUUUUAAGCGACUUAGGUUUAUCCAAAAACGCUUAUUUUGCUAGUGGCCACCACAAUUUAUUUCAUAACUUUGACCUCAAAUCAGGUAGGACUACCCGCUGAACUUAAGCAUAUCAAUAAUCGGAGGAA
rnacentral:rRNA from 1 species